ensembl:lncRNA SNHG5 small nucleolar RNA host gene 5
GGGAAAUGGCCGGGCGCGCGGCCGGCCUGCGGCGCGCUCCACAACGCGGAACGGGCCUCAGAAGAGCCACCGCGCGCGCUCCCGCUAAUUCGCGACCACACCCCUGUCUACUUCCAUGUCCAAUAGGUGCGAGAGGGCGGGACGGCCUCGUUCUGACUCCGGGAGGCUAUAUAAGGAGCUACUGGCUGCGCACUUCGGUCUUUUACGUCGGCCUUCGCGAGCGUCUGGGCGGGUGGUAGGUGAGUGGGUAUUGCGGGCUAGUAUCCGAGCAAAAGAUGGUGGCGCAGGCCGAGUUAAGAGCUUUAAUCCUGUGAAGACAUCUUAGUGAAGAGUUUAGAGUGCUGAGAGUUGAAAGCUUGCACGUGGGAAACGUGCGGCCGGACUGCCACAUGUACUGAGGUUGAGUCGUGACGGCCACAGGCUCCGAGUUUUGGCGUGAGGAACCGCUGAUCGGCCACGGGCGCCGAACUUGCUGGCCUCCGGCAUGUGCCUGAGCGGCGGCGGAAAAACCACCUUAAUUGGGGCGGAGGGUUAGUUUUAACAGCAAAGGGCCUUUACUAAAAUGGCGAAGGCCUUCCGUCGGCGUUGUUUUAAAAUGGGAAGCCUCGACCCUGUAUUGAAACUGAGCUGUUCGAAGGCGGCGUUGUGUGCAAUUCGGAUUAAUGAAGGGGAAGGGUUUUGUGUGGAAAAACGCCUUGGAGUGUGACAUUUCUGCGAGAAUGCUUAAAUACCGAUUUCCCGCAGGAACAAUGGCGCUGUCUUCAGUGGCACAGUGGAGCAGCUCUGAAGAUGCAAAGAUACACGAAAAAACUUCCAGAACAUCUGGGAGAAUAUUUAAUGGAAAAUCGCUUGGUUAAAACCUGACACUUUUAACAGUGAGGGUCGCUGUCUGCCCAUUGAUAGAGGCCAGAUUGUCUUGGAAGUUCCAAAGUUGCAACGAUUUCUGGCUAGUGCCACGAGGUUUACUUGACUGUUGUGUGAAAAGCUGAUAAGAAAACCAUCCAGAAAAAAGCUCUUCGUUUUACAAACAUGAAAAUAAAACAUGUAAUUUUGGAUUAUGUUCCUUUUUGUUAUUACUUUUAAAUAGGUCCUGAAAUAACAUGGGGAGCAUUAAAUGGAAAAUCCACUAACCAGCCUUGUAAUCAAAUUACUGUGAGUGAAUGUUUCGGGUUUGUGCAGGGUACAAUGUAAGGGUUUUUGGAUCAGUGUAAGAGUGGAGAGACAGGAAUUAGAAGUAAUUGUUACUAAGCAAAUCAUGGAAUAUUUAGUUUUGAUGUAACUAUAAUUUUGAAAGCCUGGAUGCUUAAGUUGAGAAAUGGGGGAAUGAGAUACAGAAAAUAAGGAGCACAAUAGAAUAAUAAUAGCAGUUUAUUAAGUAUGGUCAUGAGGGAAGGUUACUGAUAAAACAAUCUGGUAAAGACAUUCAGGCUUGCUAAAAUCUAGGAAGAGGUCAUUUGGCAGGAUGGGUUACAUAAUGCUAUCUGAUACUACCAAAUAAAAUGAGAGAGAAGCCUUAGGCAUGUAACGUUUGGAGAUAGAAAAUGUACCUUCACUAUGAAGGUAGUGUGUGUAAGAUGGCAGUUGAAAGCAUUGCUUGUGUUUAUGUUUAUACCCUUGAUCUCUGAUGCCCUUACCUACCGUACUUAAAACUCUGUUAAUCAUUGUCUUUCUCCCCCUCCCACAACUUCUGCAUAAAAUUUUAAGAUCUGUGUUUCAUUAGUUCAAGAGUGCCUAGAAUAGGGCCAGGCACUGUUAUACAGUAUGUGGUAAAAGACUAUUGAGAUUCCAGUUUUCAAGGAAGAGUGCCAUUACCGUUUUGUUAAAGCUGGCAAACAAGACAAAGUUGUGAAAUAGACUGGUUGCUUUGGAGCCCUCUGACCGCUUUUCCUGUAGCUCCUUCUACCUCCCUUGCCUCCCAAUAGAUUUUUUAAUAUGUCACAUUAUCUAUCGAAAUUAGUACUCCACAUUUAUAUGCACUGGCUUGUGCUAGGCUCUGCCAAGACUCCUGAAAUAAAACCGUUUUGUCAACAGUGGCACAAGAUGCCAAGGAAAAGUCAAGCUAUGAAGGAUUCUUGAAAAUAGAACAAGUGGAUUUGAGUCUAAACCAGCACAGAUGUUGGGACAAUAGGCCUAAGAAAUAACUGAGCAAAGACAGUAUGGUUCAGAGUCUGAGACAAAUAUUGAGGAUUUGGGUACCAACAGGGUGGAUAGGUGUAGGACAGAAAACUGAUGUUAUAAAUACCCUUAAGAUUCUUGAGCAAGGAAGUUACAAAUGUAAGACUAUUCCUGUAAUGAGAGUCAGAUCCAAAAAGGUUUAAUUUGAAUGGAAUUGAACUUGAAAGUUCAGUUUCAAUUACUGACUCCUUGAUGGCAAUUUCUAAUCACACAGGAGGCUGUUAGUCUGUCAUAGCCUCCUAAAAUCUCAGGCGAUAUUGGUUAAGAUCAGUUUCCUAAGUUUACCCUCCAGAGCAUAGCUGCUGCUUGGGACCAGGUGCAGUGACUCAUGCCUGUAAUCCCAGCACUCUGCUUGAGCCCAGGAAGAGACCAGCCUGGAAACAGCAAGUUGUCAUCUCUAUAAAUAAGUAAAACUGGGUGUGGUAACAUGCGCUUGUUCCAGCUACUCGGGAGGCUGAGAUAGGAGGAUCACUUGAACCUAGGAGGUUGAAGCUACAAUCAGCCAUGAUUGCACCUCUGUCUUCUAUCC